AUUGAACGCUGGCGGAAUGCUUUACACAUGCAAGUCGAACGGCAGCAUAGAGAGCUUGCUCUCUGAUGGCGAGUGGCGAACGGGUGAGUAAUAUAUCGGAACGUGCCUAGUAAUGGGGAAUAACUAGCUGAAAGGUUAGCUAAUGCCGCAUACGACCUACGGGUGAAAGCAGGGGAUCUUCGGACCUUGCGUUAUUAGAGCGGCCGAUAUCUGAUUAGCUUGUUGGUGGGGUAAUGGCCUACCAAGGCGACGAUCAGUAGCUGGUCUGAGAGGACGAUCAGCCACACUGGAACUGAGACACGGUCCAGACUCCUACGGGAGGCAGCAGUGGGGAAUUUUGGACAAUGGGGGCAACCCUGAUCCAGCCAUUCCGCGUGAGUGAAGAAGGCCUUCGGGUUGUAAAGCUCUUUCGCAAGAGAAGAAAACUUGCUAUCUAAUAAAUAGUAAGUAUGACGGUAUCUUGACAAGAAGCACCGGCUAACUACGUGCCAGCAGCCGCGGUAAUACGUAGGGUGCAAGCGUUAAUCGGAAUUACUGGGCGUAAAGCGUGCGCAGGCAGUUUUAUAAGUCAGAUGUGAAAUCCCCGAGCUCAACUUGGGAACUGCGUUUGAAACUAUAAGACUAGAGUGUGUCAGAGGGGGGUAGAAUUCCAAGUGUAGCAGUGAAAUGCGUAGAGAUUUGGAGGAAUACCAAUGGCGAAGGCAGCCCCCUGGGAUAA
rnacentral:rRNA from 1 species